rnacentral:rRNA from 1 species
GUGAGUAAUCUGCCCUUGACUCUGGGAUAACUUUGGGAAACCGGGUCUAAUACUGGAUACGACCUUCCCGCGCAUGCGGUGUUGGUGGAAAGCUUUUGCGGUUUUGGAUGGACUCGCGGCCUAUCAGCUUGUUGGUGGGGUAAUGGCCUACCAAGGCGACGACGGGUAGCCGGCCUGAGAGGGUGACCGGCCACACUGGGACUGAGACACGGCCCAGACUCCUACGGGAGGCAGCAGUGGGGAAUAUUGCACAAUGGGCGCAAGCCUGAUGCAGCGACGCCGCGUGAGGGAUGAAGGCCUUCGGGUUGUAAACCUCUUUCAGUAGGGAAGAAGCUGGCCUUUCGGGGUUGGUGACGGUACCUGCAGAAGAAGCGCCGGCUAACUACGUGCCAGCAGCCGCGGUAAUACGUAGGGCGCAAGCGUUAUCCGGAAUUAUUGGGCGUAAAGAGCUCGUAGGCGGUUUGUCGCGUCUGCCGUGAAAGUCCGGGGCUUAACUCCGGAUCUGCGGUGGGUACGGGCAGACUAGAGUGCAGUAGGGGAGACUGGAAUUCCUGGUGUAGCGGUGAAAUGCGCAGAUAUCAGGAGGAACACCGAUGGCGAAGGCAGGUCUCUGGGCUGUAACUGACGCUGAGGAGCGAAAGCAUGGGGAGCGAACAGGAUUAGAUACCCUGGUAGUCCAUGCCGUAAACGUUGGGCACUAGGUGUGGGGGACAUUCCACGUUUUCCGCGCCGUAGCUAACGCAUUAAGUGCCCCCGCCUGGGGAGUACCGCCGCAAGGCUAAAACUCAAAGGGAAUUGACGGGGGGCCCGCACAAGCGGCGGGA